GGGCUCACACAAGCGGUGGAGGAUGUGGCUUAAUUCGAGGCUACGCGAAGAACCUUACCUAGACUUAACAUGCUUAGGAACUCCUGUGAAAGCAGGAGGUGCCCUUCGGGGAGCCUUUGCAUAGGUGCUGCAUGGCUGUCGUCAGCUCGUGUCGUGAGAUGUCGGGUUAAGUCCCUUAACGAGCGAAACCCUUAUCUCUAGUUGCCAGCGGGUAGUGCCGGGGACUCUAGAGAGACUGCCGGUGUUAAACCGGAGGAAGGUGGGGAUGACGUCAAGUCCUCAUGGCCUUUAUGUCUAGGGCUGCACACGUCCUACAAUGCGGCGGAUAAAGGGAUGCGAACUCGCGAGAGCAAGCAAAUCCCAAAAACCGUCGCCCAGUUCGGAUUGCAGGCUGAAAUUCGCCUGCACGAAGCCGGAAUCGCUAGUAAUCG
rnacentral:rRNA from 1 species